rnacentral:rRNA from 1 species
UGGGGAAUCUUGCGCAAUGGGCGAAAGCCUGACGCAGCCAUGCCGCGUGAAUGAUGAAGGUCUUAGGAUUGUAAAAUUCUUUCACCGGGGACGAUAAUGACGGUACCCGGAGAAGAAGCCCCGGCUAACUUCGUGCCAGCAGCCGCGGUAAUACGAAGGGGGCUAGCGUUGCUCGGAAUUACUGGGCGUAAAGGGCGCGUAGGCGGACAGUUUAGUCAGAGGUGAAAGCCCAGGGCUCAACCUUGGAAUUGCCUUUGAUACUGGCUGUCUUGAGUACGGGAGAGGUGUGUGGAACUCCGAGUGUAGAGGUGAAAUUCGUAGAUAUUCGGAAGAACACCAGUGGCGAAGGCGACACACUGGCCCGUUACUGACGCUGAGGCGCGAAAGCGUGGGGAGCAAACAGGAUUAGAUACCCUGGUAGUCCACGCCGUAAAACGAUGAGUGCUAGUUGUCGGCAUGCAUGCAUGUCGGUGACGCAGCUAAACGCAUUAAGCACUCCGCCUGGGGAGUACGGUCGCAAGAUUAAAAACUUAAAGGAAUUGAC